rnacentral:rRNA from 1 species
GAGUUUGAUCAUGGCUCAGAUUGAACGCUGGCGGCAUGCCUUACACAUGCAAGUCGAACGGCAGCACGGGAGCUUGCUCCUGGUGGCGAGUGGCGAACGGGUGAGUAAUGCAUCGGAACGUAUCCUGGAGUGGGGAUAACGUAGCGAAAGUUACGCUAAUACCGCAUAUUCUGUGAGCAGGAAAGCGGGGGACCUUCGGGCCUCGCGCUCUUGGAGCGGCCGAUGUCGGAUUAGCUAGUUGGUGAGGUAAGGGCUCACCAAGGCGACGAUCCGUAGCAGGUCUGAGAGGAUGAUCUGCCACACUGGAACUGAGACACGGUCCAGACUCCUACGGGAGGCAGCAGUGGGAAUUUUGGACAAUGGGGGCAACCCUGAUCCAGCCAUGCCGCGUGAGUGAAGAAGGCC